GAUGAACGCUGGCGGCGUGCCUAAUACAUGCAAGUCGAGCGAACAGACGAGGAGCUUGCUCCUCUGACGUUAGCGGCGGACGGGUGAGUAACACGUGGAUAACCUACCUAUAAGACUGGGAUAACUUCGGGAAACCGGAGCUAAUACCGGAUAAUAUAUUGAACCGCAUGGUUCAAUAGUGAAAGACGGUUUUGCUGUCACUUAUAGAUGGAUCCGCGCCGCAUUAGCUAGUUGGUAAGGUAACGGCUUACCAAGGCAACGAUGCGUAGCCGACCUGAGAGGGUGAUCGGCCACACUGGGACUGAGACACGGUCCAGACUCCUAGGGGAGGCAGCAGUAGGGAAUCUUCCGCAAUGGGCGAAAGCCUGACGGAGCAACGCCGCGUGAGUGAUGAAGGUCUUCGGAUCGGAAAACUCUGUUAUUAGGGAAGAACAAAUGUGUAAGUAACGAUGCACGUCUUGACGGUACCUAAUCAGAAAGCCACGGCUAACUACGUG
rnacentral:rRNA from 1 species